GGACUAUUUUAUGUCCAAGUCCAAGAAGUCCAAGAAGUCAUCCUGACAAGUUUGUUGAGUCUCCUACUUGCUACCCGAGUUCCAUAAACUUAGAAAGAUCUUGACCUCUAGAUGGGCAAAACAGCCACCAUCAUAAUCUGCUUUGACAGUUACAAGCAGUUUAAACCAGGAUUUUAGAAAUCAACUGACAAAUUUAACUACAGGCAAGUCCAAAUGCAAAUAAUUCUAGCAGAAGUUAGAAUUCAGCCAUGCUGAGAUACUUCUGUUAUCAAAGAAUUUUUUAUUCAGCUACAUCUGAUAUCCUUCAACAGGUAACAGUCUAAAUGCAAAGCAACUAUAUGGAAAGUUACCUGCCUGUAUCUGUCAGGAAAUAACACCAGUCAUUUACUGGCCUUUACUGCACUGGCAAUGACAGAAGAAAACAUUGUACCGUAGAAGAUCAAAGCUGAGCUCCCAAAUUCCAUGUUACAUGUACUUUGAAAGAGUGACGGCACAUCUAGUGUUACAAGUGCAUCAGACAUGCAGUCAAUGCCCGCAUCUGGCUCCUGUCCGUUCACUGAGAGACAAGGAAUGGUUGUUUCAGGUGCUGUGACCAGAAGACACGAAAACUAAUGACAGAGGAUCACCAAGGCUUGGCUGCUGGAGGGCUGCUGGAGUUGGUGGUGGUAACAGAAGAAAGAAGAGAAGAACCAAGAGGGACCAUGGCUGCGGGACAGCCAUCGUCGGGAACGAAAGCACCGGAUAGGAAGACCAGCGCUACUUCAGUGCCUCCCCCUCAACUCCCUCCUCGUAUGGGACGCCAGGCCAGGGCAAGCCUACUGGAGUCCACCACUCCUGAGCAACUGCACGAGAUGCUGUGAGUUAAUCACUACAGGCUUUGCUCCUGGAGAUUGGCAUACCCCAUCGGUGUGACCGGAUCACGGAUAUGGGUUGUACCCAAACAUGGUUUUAUACCGAGGAUCAGCACACCCCCACUGGUGUGGCUAGAUCACUUCUUUUUGUUUCCGGGGAUGGGCACGCCUGCCCAGCGCUACCUGAUCAGGGCAGUUGUUCCCCCCCUGCCCCCGCACACCUUUUUUUUUUAUAUAGACAUGUCAGUAUCGUUCAUAAUUUUAUUUACUGUGGAACCUCAUUUGCCUUGUUGUUAUUUUUCCCAGAAGCCUCCACUAAAUAUCAUUAUAUAUAGUUACUGUAGGUCUGUAUUGAUUGUUUAGCUGAAAUCAGUAAAGUUACAUUAUUUGUAAGUCCAUUGAUCCAAAUACUGUAACCCUAUACCACCUAAACGAACCCAAUUCCAAUUAGUAUUCCAAUAUUUGAUAAGUCCCAAAGAGAAUAAUCAGUUUUCCAAAAUGCCCUUUAACUGGCGUGGGAGCUCCUCUGCUAUGGACCGGGACACUGGGCUAUUGUUACUGUCUGUCAAAGUUCCUAUUCACAAAGUAACUGAAUUAAAGCUGAGCAACCUUAAUGCCCUUUGCAUGUAAAAUUUUGAGAAGUAAUUUUAUACGUAGGAACAGAAUUUUCCUCCUGAUGCAUAAAGCUGCAACUGCACUAACUAUGCCAAAGCUGAAAUGACAGACCAUGGCCCACCCAGGCAAAAGUUUCUGGCAUUCAUUAUGCUUUCCAAACCACUAAGAUUCUCCAAGGAAAAUCUCUGGCUGAGCCAAGAAUAAGGGUGAGUGCGAUGUACAGAAGAUGGAGGUCUUUGGGGACUAAGUGUGACUUUUUACUUUCUUCUCCACAGAGAAUAAAAUCUAUUCUUCAUGAGUGGGAUGUUUAGUGGAGGAACAGUACUGACUUCACAAGUGGACUCCCUGUAGCAACUAAACAUGCAUUAAACUUGAGGCCUUUUCCAUAGCUAAUGGAGGGAAAAGAUGACAAACACAUGUCCUUUUAUAGAGGUAAUGCUUUAACCCCUAUGGCUGGAGUCAAUCCAAGAGCCAAGAGAGCUUUAGUUCUUGUGAAGGAGGUGUAGAAAGUGAGACAAUCCCAUGAAACUGGAAAUGGAGACGUCAAAGGUACUGUCAAUCCAAUUUUAUGAAAUUCCUGUGGUAGAUGCAAAUCCUUUCCAAAUGCUACAUUCUGUUUCUUCACCUCGUCUUCCAUUUUAAUGGAUGUUUUGCAACAUGGAUAUUGGGAUUCCUUUUCAAGUGAAAAUAUGUUUUUAUUUCCUA